AUUGAACGCUGGCGGCAGGCCUAACACAUGCAAGUCGAACGGUAACAGGAAGAAGCUUGCUUCUUUGCUGACGAGUGGCGGACGGGUGAGUAAUGUCUGGGAAACUGCCUGAUGGAGGGGGAUAACUACUGGAAACGGUAGCUAAUACCGCAUAACGUCGCAAGACCAAAGAGGGGGACCUUCGGGCCUCUUGCCAUCGGAUGUGCCCAGAUGGGAUUAGCUAGUAGGUGGGGUAACGGCUCACCUAGGCGACGAUCCCUAACUGGUCUGAGAGGAUGACCAGCCACACUGGAACUGAGACACGGUCCAGACUCCUACGGGAGGCAGCAGUGGGGAAUAUUGCACAAUGGGCGCAAGCCUGAUGCAGCCAUGCCGCGUGUAUGAAGAAGGCCUUCGGGUUGUAAAGUACUUUCAGCGGGGAGGAAGGGAGUAAAGUUAAUACCUUUGCUCAUUGACGUUACCCGCAGAAGAAGCACCGACUAACUCCGUGCCAGCCGCCGCGGUAAUACGGAGGGUGCAAGCGUUUAUCCGGAAUUACUGGGCGUAAAGCGCACGCCAGGCGGUUUGUUAAGUCAGAUGUGAAAUCCCCGGGCUCAACCUGGGAACUGCAUCUGAUACUGGCAAGCUUGAGUCUCGUAGAGGGGGGUAGAAUUCCAGGUGUAGCGGUGAAAUGCGUAGAGAUCUGGAGGAAUACCGGUGGCGAAGGCGGCCCCCUGGACGAAGACUGACGCUCAGGUGCGAAAGCGUGGGGAGCAAACAGGAUUAGAUACCCUGGUAGUCCACGCCGUAAACGAUGUCGACUUGGAGGUUGUGCCCUUGAGGCGUGGCUUCCGGAGCUAACGCGUUAAGUCGACCGCCUGGGGAGUACGGCCGCAAGGUUAAAACUCAAAUGAAUUGACGGGGGCCCGCACAAGCGGUGGAGCAUGUGGUUUAAUUCGAUGCAACGCGAAGAACCUUACCUGGUCUUGACAUCCACGGAAGUUUUCAGAGAUGAGAAUGUGCCUUCGGGAACCGUGAGACAGGUGCUGCAUGGCUGUCGUCAGCUCGUGUUGUGAAAUGUUGGGUUAAGUCCCGCAACGAGCGCAACCCUUAUCCUUUGUUGCCAGCGGUCCGGCCGGGAACUCAAAGGAGACUGUUAGUGAUAAACUGGAGGAAGGUGGGGAUGACGUCAAGUCAUCAUGGCCCUUACGACCAGGGCUACACACGUGCUACAAUGGCGCAUACAAAGAGAAGCGACCUCGCGAGAGCAAGCGGACCUCAUAAAGUGCGUCGUAGUCCGGAUUGGAGUCUGCAACUCGACUCCAUGAAGUCGGAAUCGCUAGUAAUCGUGGAUCAGAAUGCCACGGUGAAUACGUUCCCGGGCCU
rnacentral:rRNA from 1 species